UACGAAGGGGGCUAGCGUUGCUCGGAAUCACUGGGCGUAAAGCGCACGUAGGCGGAUUGCUAAGUCAGGGGUGAAAUCCUGGAGCUCAACUCCAGAACUGCCCUUGAUACUGGCGACCUUGAGUCCGGGAGAGGUGAGUGGAACUGCGAGUGUAGAGGUGAAAUUCGUAGAUAUAGGAAGGAAUACCAGUGGCGAAGGCGGCCUCCUGGAUCGAUACUGACGCUGAGGCGCGAAAGCGUGGGGAGCAAACAGG
rnacentral:rRNA from 1 species